rnacentral:rRNA from 1 species
GAUGAACGCUGGCGGCGUGCCUAAUACAUGCAAGUCGAGCGAACAGACGAGGAGCUUGCUCCUCUGACGUUAGCGGCGGACGGGUGAGUAACACGUGGAUAACCUACCUAUAAGACUGGGAUAACUUCGGGAAACCGGAGAUAAUACCGGAUAAUAUAUUGAACCGCAUGGUUCAAUAGUGAAAGACGGUUUUGCUGUCACUUAUAGAUGGAUCCGCGCCGCAUUAGCUAGUUGGUAAGGUAACGGCUUACCAAGGCAACGAUGCGUAGCCGACCUGAGAGGGUGAUCGGCCACACUGGAACUGAGACACGGUCCAGACUCCUACGGGAGGCAGCAGUAGGGAAUCUUCCGCAAUGGGCGAAAGCCUGACGGAGCAACGCCGCGUGAGUGAUGAAGGUCUUCGGAUCGUAAAACUCUGUUAUUAGGGAAGAACAAAAGUGUAAGUAACUAUGCACGUCUUGACGGUACCUAAACAGAAAGCCACGGCUAACUACGUG